AUUGAACGCUGGCGGCAUGCCUUACACAUGCAAGUCGAACGGUAGAGGGGGGCAACCCCUUCGAGAGUGGCGAACGGGUAAGUAAUACAUCGGAACGUACCUUAUCGUGGGGGAUAACGCAGCGAAAGCUGUGCUAAUACCGCAUACGCCCUGAGGGGGAAAGCGGGGGAUCGCAAGACCUCGCGCGAUUAGAGCGGCCGAUGCCUGAUUAGCUUGUUGGUGGGGUAAAAGCCCACCAAGGCGACGAUCAGUAGCUGGUCUGAGAGGACGAUCAGCCACACUGGGACUGAGACACGGCCCAGACUCCUACGGGAGGCAGCAGUGGGGAAUUUUGGACAAUGGGGGCAACCCUGAUCCAGCAAUGCCGCGUGAGUGAAGAAGGCCUUCGGGUUGUAAAGCUCUUUUGUCAGGGAAGAAACACCGGCUCUAACACAGUCCGGGAAUGACGGUACCUGAAGAAUAAGCACCGGCUAACUACGUGCCAGCAGCCGCGGUAA
rnacentral:rRNA from 1 species